rnacentral:rRNA from 1 species
AAUGAACGUUGGCGGCGUGGAUUAGGCAUGCAAGUCGAGGGAGAACCCGCAAGGGGGACACCGGCGAACGGGGUAGGAUCACCUCGGUGACGUACCCUCCGGACGGGGAUAGCGACGGGAAACUGUCGGUAAUACCCGAUGAUCUGGCGAGCUUUUGAGGCUUGUCAGCAAAGGUGAGAUUCCACCGGAGGAGCGGCUGAGGCGCUAUUAGCUAGUUGGGGAGGUAACGGCUCACCAAGGCGACGAUGGCUAGGGGGUGUGAGAGCAUGGCCCCCCACACUGGCACUGAGACACUGGCCAGACACCUACGGGUGGCUGCAGUCGAGAAUCUUCGGCAAUGGGCGCAAGCCUGACCGAGCGACGCCGCGUGCGGGAUGAAGGUCUUCGGAUUGUAAACCGCUGUCGGAGGGGAUGAAGUGUACGGGGGCUAUCCCCUGUAUUUGACAGAGCCUCGGAGGAAGCACGGGCUAAGUUCGUGCCAGCAGCCGCGGUAAUGUGUG